rnacentral:lncRNA from 1 species
UCUGAGAAUUAAAGAGAUUGGAGAUUAAGAACAAGAGAGAGAUUUAAGAGAGAGAGACUCAAAACUCCAUUAAUUAAUACUGAUGAGGGUUUACAAGUAUAUAAAGAGAGAGCAACAAGUAAUUUCGAAAUGUAUAAGCAUGUGUAGUCAAAGGACAGGCUGGAACUCCUUUUGAAUCACUUGGCUGUGCUUUCUCACAUGCUUGCACUAGUAGAAAAGCAUCCUCUCCUUUCCAGCACCAUACAGGCUGUCAAACU